CUUUCUUUGCUGGCGACCGGCGCACGGGUGAGUAACACGUAUCCAACCUGCCUUUACUCGGGGAUAGCCUUUCGAAAGAAAGAUUAAUGCCCGAUAGUAUAAUGAUUCCGCAUGGUUUCAUUAUUAAAGGAUUCCGGUAAAGGAUGGGGAUGCGUUCCAUUAGGUUGUUGGUGAGGUAACGGCUCACCAAGCCUUCGAUGGAUAGGGGUUCUGAGAGGAAGGUCCCCCACAUUGGAACUGAGACACGGUCCAA
rnacentral:rRNA from 1 species